rnacentral:rRNA from 1 species
UACGGGGGGGGCAAGCGUUGUUCGGAAUUACUGGGCGUAAAGGGCUCGUAGGCGGCCAACUAAGUCGGACGUGAAAUCCCUCGGCUUAACCGGGGAACUGCGUCUGAUACUGGAUGGCUUGAAUCCGGGAGAGGGAUGCGGAAUUCCAGGUGUAGUGGUGAAAUGCGUAGAGAUCGGGAGGAACACCAGUGGCGAAGGCGGCUCGCUGGGCCGGACCUGACGCUGAGACGCGAAGGCGUGGGAGCGAACGGG